rnacentral:rRNA from 1 species
UGGUACAGUCAUACCACCGUGGACAUGCCUGUUCUUGGAAGCCAAGCAGGGUUGGUCAUGGUUAUUCCUAGAAUGGGAGAUGGCCUUGGACUACACCAG